UGAUGGUAUUCUACCACUGAAAUUAUUGUUCGAAAUGACACCCGCAAGUCAUCGAGGUAUACCGCCGUGGUAUGGUAUCCUUCA
rnacentral:pre_miRNA from 1 species